GAUUAGUUUAAAUUAAGCCGCUAACUUAAAAUUAACGAAUAAAAUCGCUACUAAUCU
rnacentral:tRNA from 2 species